CUCUGAUGAAACCUCCCACGCAGCUCCUUCUCUUUCCCCCAUCCCCGCCAGUCGCCACCACGCGCCAAUCCCGUCGUCGCCCGUCGAUCCGGUGCGCAGUUCCACCCUCGUCUCUCUCCCUGGUCCAGCAACGUCACCCAGCCCCUUAGCUUUUCCUCCCGGCGCAAAAAUGUCCUUUUGACUCCCGUCUCCGUCCUGUUGGCCCGCAGAUCUGGCAGCCCUCGGCCAGGACGCUGCGAGCUCUGGCCGGCUUGACCUCGUCGCCCCCAUCCAAUAGGUGCUCGACGCCGCUCCUCGGGACCGCGGCGGUCUUCUUCAUGGUCUCUCUCUCCCUUCACCUCCUACGCCAUGUAUCGGCCCCUUCCUGAAGCUCCUCCUCAUCCGUGUGCCCCCCUGAUGUCGCCGAGUGGACCACGCCCACUCCCGCCUCCGCCCGCCUGUACCAGGCCACACCAGAUUCUGAAGGCGGCUUUGAAAGGGGUGAGAUGAUGCUCGUCAAGACUAACUGAAAAGGAAUGGGAGACAAUACUGAAGAAUCGUGAUCUAUGGCAAGGGUGAUGAUGUCUAUGGCGAUGAGUGUUAUGAUCUAUUUGGCGACAAGCAUUAUGAUCCAUAUGGUGAUGAAGGGUGACGAGUCUAGUGAUCUUUCUUCAAGACGUUCAACAAAGUGAAAUCAUGGGGUUUUGGUCAAUCUAGCUUAUGCAUAAUGCUUGGACCAUUAUAUCUUAGUUAAUUUUUUUUGCAUUUUAAACUUUCUAGAUUGUUCAUCAUGAUCAAUGUAAUUCUGAUGCAACUCUUCUGAUAUUUUGAAAGUUGUGCUAUAUACAAUAUAUGUUACUUGGUCA